CCUACGGGUGGCAGCAGUGGGGAAUAUUGCGCAAUGGGCGAAAGCCUGACGCAGCGACGCCGCGUGAGGGAUGAAGGUCUUCGGAUCGUAAACCUCUGUCAGCAGGGAAGAACGGUCACUGUGCUAAUCAGCAGUGAAUUGACGGUACCUGCAAAGGAAGCACCGGCUAACUCCGUGCCAGCAGCCGCGGUAAUACGGAGGGUGCUAGCGUUAAUCGGAAUUACUGGGCGUAAAGCGCUCGUAGGCGGUAUGUCAAGGCAAGGGGGAAAUCCCCGCGCGCAACGUGGGAACUGCCUUUGAAACUGGCAAACUGGAGUGUGUGAGAGGAUAGUGGAAUUCCAGGUGUAGGAGUGAAAUCCGUAGAUAUCUGGAGGAACAUCAGUGGCGAAGGCGACUAUCUGGCACAUAACUGACGCUGAGGAGCGAAAGCGUGGGUAGCAAACAGGAUUAGAUACCCCUGUAGUC
rnacentral:rRNA from 1 species